rnacentral:lncRNA from 1 species
AAACCAAGCCUGGCCAGAGAGUGAUCAACCUUCCUUCAUUACAGCCAGGGCGGCUCAGUGGCAGGAUUGCAGACGUGACAACUUCUACUUUGCCACCACACUCCAAUCAAUGUCCAGGAGCUGCUGUAUUGCCCAGGGAACGCUUCACAGGUCUGCAUAGGACAGUGGCUGCCAGCUCCGGAUCACCUCACCUCUACAUGCAGGCAGCUGUGGAGCCAUCUGCCCCAUGGGUGUUAGAGGACUCCAUUUCAAUGUUCUAAUAAGAAGGACACUUGGAAAAUACAGAUCAGUCACCAUUGCUAACAGGUCAAUCUGAUACUGAGUUUCCAGGGUUAAGAAACAGAAAACCCUACUCUGGAUUGAAUUAAAAGCGGCAUAUACAUACUACAUUGCCCUUGGGAUUUGCAGAUUCAGAACUUAGUUUGACAAAACCUAUCAGGUUUGGGCAAUUAUGAAAGCAGGUUAUUCUCUGUCAUGGGGACGAUAAAAACAAAUGAGCAAUAAAAAGACAAGAAUGAAAAAUG